AUGUAAGUUCUUUGCGACGAGGUGACAGUGUAGAUGGUGAUGUUGAUUUUAUAUGUAAUAGUCCAAUACAGCAUUCUAAAAAAAAAAAAAAAAACCAACAUGCUUUGUGUUUUGAUAAACAACUUUUUGAACAUGGGAAAAGUUUAUUUUCAUGCCAAAGGCGCCCCAUUAUAGAAGUAGUUUAAGAAGCUAUACAAAGAAUUGCACCAAAGGAAAGAUGAAAACAGAUUGGCCUCAUUAGCUGGAAGAAGAGAAGACUGAGAUCCUGAUAAAAUUGGAGGAAAAAAGGAAAGGAAAGGAAAAUGUCAACUAGUGAUCUCUAGGACCUUGUUGCUCAAGGAACGUUAUAUGAACUAGAAGCUUCAGCAUCACCUCGGAAAUUUCUG